GUAGGUGAACCUGCGGAAGGAUCAUUAAAACGUUCCAAUAACGUAUACCUUUGUCGAACUUGUUAACUAUACACGUCUUUCUGUCGACUAAAGCUAGAGGUUUAAAAGCUAAUAGUAGUGGGGGUGGCUGUUCUGCAUUCCUUCUGGAAACAGAAGUUGAGUGUAGAGUGGCCGUUAUACCUCAAAGCUGCCCUCUAGGUAUGUCCAGGUUUCCUCUUCGGAGGAGUUCUGGUAUGCUGGCGCUAGACGUUUUGUUCACCACUGCUUUAUUUCAUUUUAACCACUUUAUUAUUUUGUCUAAUUGUUUUUAUAACAAAAAACAAAUUUACGAACAAUUCUUAGCAACGGAUAUCUUGGUUCUC
rnacentral:misc_RNA from 1 species